rnacentral:rRNA from 1 species
GGCUACCCACUUGAUGUCUAUGGCACGGUCAUAGCCAGGGAUGAUCUGGAUCGCAAAUGUGUCUAUCUAUUCUGGCACGACAAGGACAAUCGCCAGUUCAUCACCUCAUAGGACAAUUCAUUGAUUUUGACUGGUCCAAAGAGAGGACUUGCGCUCUGCGGUUCGCUAUUCUUUGAAAUCGAUCUGAAGGUUAAGGAUGUGCAUGGGAGGGAGGUCAAGGAUGAAAGGCUCAGCAAAGGCACGCUGGAUGUUAAUGGCAUCACAAGACAGGCAUCAAACUUCGAAUAUGGGGUUGAAAAAAACACGCUUGUCAGCAUGCACAGCACAUUGGAGAUGAACUUUGCAUUCGUUAGGGACGCCGUGGAGGGCACGGUUGAGAUCAGGAUCCUUGAGGGGCUUGUUGAUUUCCAUGGUAAGAUCAUUGCUACCACCACCAGAGUUCCAUGUGAAAUUGUGCUACAUGAUAGCAGAGUGAAUGGCUUGCUCACUGCCGGCGAUGAUCAAGUCAUGCGAACAGCGCGCCGCGUGGUAUGUCUAUCUGCAGGUGAGAUGCUCUUGGUGACUGUUGCUCCUGAAGGUGGCGAUGAGCUCUCUCGCCACACUGUUAGUUUUGCUUCAAGGCUCAACGGUUGUGCCGCCGAGAACAUGGUGUGUGGUAACUAUAAGAUGCAAGUGAAGGUCACUUGGUCGAUUGUGAUGUAA